rnacentral:rRNA from 1 species
AUGGACGAAAGUCUGACGGAGCAACGCCGCGUGUACGAUGAAGGUCUUCGGAUUGUAAAGUACUGUCUUUGGGGAAGAACGGUGGCUUUGAAAAUAUUGAGGCCACAUGACGGUACCCAAGGAGGAAGCCCCGGCUAACUACGUGCCAGCAGCCGCGGUAAUACGUAGGGGGCAAGCGUUGUCCGGAAUUAUUGGGCGUAAAGGGCGCGUAGGCGGUUCAUUAAGUUAUAGGUGAAAGUUCGGGGCUCAACCCCGUGAUUGCCUGUGAUACUGGUGGACUUGAGUGCAGGAGAGGGUAGCAGAAUUCCCAGUGUAGCGGUGAAAUGCGUAGAUAUUGGGAGGAAUACCAGUGGCGAAGGCGGCUAUCUGGACUGUAACUGACACUGAGGCGCGAAAGCGUGGGGAGCAAACAGGAUUAGAUACCCUGGUAGUCCACGCCGUAAACGAUGAGUGCUAGGUGUUGCGGGUAUCGACCCCUGCAGUGCCGUAGUUAACACAAUAAGCACUCCGCCUGGGGAGUACGG